rnacentral:rRNA from 1 species
UGCCAGCAGCCGCGGUAAUACGAAGGGGGCUAGCGUUGUUCGGAAUUACUGGGCGUAAAGCGCACGUAGGCGGAUUAGAAAGUUGGGGGUGAAAUCCCAGGGCUCAACCCUGGAACUGCCUUUGAUACUGCUAGUCUUGAGUUCUAGAGAGGUGAGUGGAAUUCCGAGUGUAGAGGUGAAAUUCGUAGAUAUUCGGAGGAACACCAGUGGCGAAGGCGGCUCACUGGCUCGAUACUGACGCUGAGGUGCGAAAGUGUGGGGAGCAAACAGGAUUAGAUA